GGUAAACCAAGACUCGGGGUCUAAAACUUUGAUUUGUUCACAAUUCUCAGUGCCGCAGCUCUAUGUAAAAUGAGGUGUGCCUAUACUUACAGGAUUUUCAGGCUGUAGAGACCAGAGAAUGCUUCUCCCGGGAUGUGUGAGAGAUGGUUCCCAGAGAGACGCCUGGAAAUCAGAGACAAGGGUCAGCGAUGUUGGCCGGUAACACAAGGAGGUGGUGACCUCCGGAGUGAUCACCAAUUCUGAAAGGAGCAAAUGCAACGAAAUACACUCACUGCUGAAGCUGACUGAGCAGUUUAAUGGUGGAUGAUUCAGAAGACACUGCCUGAUCUCCAAAGUCCCCAGGGACAUCAUUAUGUGCAUCAGUUGCUACCGAGAGACUUGUAGAUUGGAGAUUAUGCUGACAUACCUCAGAAGCUAUUUUUAAAACAUCUACCUCUAAUAAAAGUCUCUUUAUUUGACAU